rnacentral:rRNA from 1 species
AUUGUAGGCUGAAACUCGCCUAUAUGAAGUCGGAAUUGCUAGUAAUCGCGGAUCAGCAUGCCGCGGUGAAUACGUUCCCGGGCCUUGUACACACCGCCCGUCACACCAUGAGAGUCGAUAACACCCGAAGCCUGUAGUCUAACCAUAUGGGGGACGCAGUCGAAGGUGGGAUUGAUAAUUAGGGUGAAGUCGUAACAAGGUAGC